GCCGGGGUGGUGAAAUUGGUAGACACGCUAGGUUGAGGGCCUAGUGGGCGCAUAGCCUGUACGGGUUCAAAUCCCGUCUCCGGCACCA
rnacentral:tRNA from 1 species